ensembl:misc_RNA 7SK 7SK RNA
AGUGGGCGAUCUGGCUUCGACAUCUGUCACCUCAUUGAUCGCCAGGGUUGAUUCGGCUGAUCUGACUGGCUAGGCAGGUGUUCACUUCCUCCCUCACCAUUCUAUGUACGCCCCUCCAGAAGCUGUGAUCUGUUGAAGAGGAUGACCUUCCCUGAAUAGAGGAGGGCCGGUCUUCGGUCAAGGGUAUAUGAGUAGCUGCACUCCCCUGCUAGAACCUCCAAACAAGCUCUCAAGGCAGGCUUAUAUUUCACCAACUCAACAACUCCAGCUCUGACCCAUGCUAGCUGUUGCAAUCAGGCCUUAUGUCUGGAGCUGCCUCUCAGU